CGUCGUGGCGGCGCCCUACACAUGCAGUCGAACGAAGUAGCAAUACUUAGUGGCAGACGGGUGAGUAACAUGUAGGUAUCUGCCCUUUGGCCUGGAAUAACACGAGGAAACUUGUGCUAAUACCGGAUAAGUCUUUACAGAGAAAGCUUUAUGCACCAUUGGAUGAGCCUGCACUUGAUUAGUUUGUUGGUGGGGUAAUGGCCUACCAAGACUGUGAUCAAUAGCUGAUUUGAGAGGAUGAUCAGCCACAUUGGGACUGAGACACGGCCCAAACUCCUACGGGAGGCAGCAGUGGGGAAUCUUGCACAAUGGAGGAAACUCUGAUGCAGCGAUGCCGCGUGAGUGAAGAAGGCCUUUGGGUUGUAAAGCUCUUUCGUCGGGGAAGAAAAUGACUGUACCCGAAUAAGAAGGUCCGGCUAACUUCGUGCCAGCAGCCGCGGUAAUACGAAGGGACCUAGCGUAGUUCGGAAUUACUGGGCUUAAAGAGUUCGUAGGUGGUUGAAAAAGUUGGUGGUGAAAUCCCAGAGCUUAACUCUGGAACUGCCAUCAAAGCUUUUCAGCUAGAGUGUGAUAGAGGAAAGCAGAAUUUCUAGUGUAGAGGUGAAAUUCGUAGAUAUUAGAAAGAAUACCAAUUGCGAAGGCAGCUUUCUGGAUCAUUACUGACACUGAGGAACGAAAGCAUGGGUAGCGAAGAGGAUUAGAUACCCUCGUAGUCCAUGCCGUAAACGAUGUGUGUUAGACGUUGGAAAUUUAUUUUCAGUGUCGCAGCGAAAGCGAUAAACACACCGCCUGGGGAGUACGACCGCAAGGUUAAAACUCAAAUGAAUUGACGGGGACCCGCACAAGUAGUGGAGCAUGUGGUUUAAUUCGAAGAUACGCGCAGAACCUUACCAACACUUGACAUGUUCGUCGCGACUUUAAGAGAUUAAAGUUUUCGGUUCGGCCGGACGAAACACAGGUGCUGCAUGGCUGUCGUCAGCUCGUGUCGUGAGAUGUUGGGUUAAGUCCCGCAACGAGCGCAACCCUCACUUUUAGUUGCCAUCAUUAAGUUGGGCACUCUGAAAGAACUGCCAGUGAUAAGCUGGAGGAAGGUGGGGAUGACGUCAAGUCCUCAUGGCCCUUACGUGUUGGGCUACACACGUGCUACAAUGGUAUCUACAACAGGAAGCAAAACGGCGACGUUAAGCAAAUCCUUAAAAGAUACCUCAGUUCGGAUUGCACUCUGCAACUCGAGUGCAUGAAGCUGGAAUUACUAGUAAUCGUGGAUCAGCGUGCCACGGUGAAUGCGUUCCCGGGUCUUGUACACACCGCCCGUCACACCAUGGGAGUUGGUUCUACCUUAAGGCAAGGUUUAAAACCCCUGACCCAUCGGUAUUCCGG
rnacentral:rRNA from 1 species